CUCAAAUGACUUAGUGGAACAUCCCACAUCAGUGUUAGACGUAAUAAGUUUCGUCUCUCCUUGUGGUGAUGACUGCUCAGAACCUGCCAUCGCGCAUCUUUUGACUUUGACCUGAAAUCAGGUAGGGCUACCCGCUGAACUUAAGCAUAUCAAUAAGCGGAGGAAAAGAAACUAACAAGGAUUCCCCUAGUAACGGCGAGUGAACCGGGAAGAGCUCAAAUUUGAAAUCUGGCGUGCUCAGUGCGUCCGAGUUGUAAUCUAUAGAGGCGUUUUCCGUGCCGGACUGUGUCCAAGUCCCUUGGAACAGGGUAUCAAAGAGGGUGAUAAUCCCGUACUUGACACAAUGACCGGUGCUCUGUGAUACGUCUUCUACGAGUCGAGUUGUUUGGGAAUGCAGCUCAAAAUGGGUGGUGAGUUCCAUCUAAAGCUAAAUAUUGGCGAGAGACCGAUAGCGAACAAGUACCGUGAGGGAAAGAUGAAAAGCACUUUGGAAAGAGAGUUAAACAGUACGUGAAAUUGUUGAAAGGGAAACGAUUGAAGUCAGUCGUGACUGAGAGGCUCAGCCGGUUCUGCCGGUGUAUUCCCCUCAGUCGGGUCAACAUCAGUUUUGUUCGGUGGAUAAGGGCAGUUGGAAGGUGGCACCCUCGGGUGUGUUAUAGCCAGCUGUCGCAUACAUCGGAUGAGACUGAGGAAUGCAGCUCGCCUUUAUGGCCGGGGUCGCC
rnacentral:rRNA from 1 species